rnacentral:rRNA from 1 species
AUGCUGCAAAUGUACUUUGUGGAUGUUCUAUAUUUCUCGGUUUUGAAGAAGCAGAAAAUGAAGAAACAUCUGGACGAGAAGAAAAAGAAGUGCAAGGCUGUUAAGGUCGAGACUCAUCUUGAAUUCCCUGGAUGUGAAAAGGUUAAAUUUGGUGAAGUUGUCGAAGCUCCACCAAAGUUAUCAUUCCCAAAGAUCACUUUUCGGCCAUUUAGAAAUGAGAAGUUGACUUCUUGUAAAUGUGAAUUUGGUGUACAGGAUUUGACAACAAAAAAUAAUGUUAUAUGA